UACGAAGGGGGCUAGCGUUGUUCGGAAUCACUGGGCGUAAAGCGCACGUAGGCGGAUCUUUAAGUCGGGGGUGAAAUCCCGAGGCUCAACCUCGGAACUGCCUUUGAUACUGGAUAUCUAGAGUGCAGGAGAGGAAAGUGGAAUUCCUAGUGUAGCAGUGAAAUGCGUAGAUAUUAGGAGGAACACCAGUGGCGAAGGCGGCCAUCUGGACGGUGACUGACGCUGAGACGCGAAAGCGUGGGGAGCAAAC
rnacentral:rRNA from 1 species